CAGGUAGACCCAGUACCCACAAUACAGCUGUUCUACAACAGGUAGACCCAGUACCCACAAUACAGCUGUUCUACAACAGGUAGACCCAGUACCCACAAUACAGCUGCUCUACAACAGGUAGACCCAGUACAGUACAGCUGCUCUACAACAGGUAGACCCAGUACAGUACAGCUGCUCUACAACAGGUAGACCCAGUAC